rnacentral:rRNA from 1 species
GCCAGCAGCUAUAUAACCUUGCAGCUCACAGUAGGCAGCCCACUGAAGCUCAGCAGCUGUGAGCCUGGUCAGUACCUGGAUGGGAGACCUCCUGGGAAAGCAACGGUUGCUGCUGGAA